UCAGGGACAUUUUAAGUGAUUUUGGCAGUACUAACCGCUGUAGAAGAAAGCCCAACAUAAACCUAAUGGCAAGUAGAAGAGUAGAGCGUGAGCAACGAGCUUCUCCUCCAGUGGCUUCUUCUCCUCCAUUGAUGCGAGCUUCUCCUCUAUUCUUGUGAGCUUCUCUGCCAUUGAUGCGAGCUUCUCCUCCAUCGAGCUUCGGCGUUCUAUCUUAAUUCGAAAUCUUCAUCACUGCUGCUCUGCGAGCUUCUCCUCCAUCAAUGAUUCUUCCCCUCCAUCGAUGUCAUGUCCAUCAAUGCUUCUCCUCUGAUGGUACAUUUGCUUCCGUGGAUGCGAUUUGCGAGGUCAAAAGUUGGGGAUUGUUAGAAGAAAUUGAGUAAGGCAACCACUGUCUUCGAUAAAAGAAUAUCUCAAGACAUUGCAAUUCAGGAGGCGCUUCCAAUGCAUUAAGUACACCUUCAUCGUGGUUAAUCUCUGACUCUAUAGAAGAAAAGCACAGUUCCAAAUUUUAACUACUUAGCUUGCACCUGUCUCAACAAUUGUGUUCUGCACACCCGACAGCAAAACAUUGGAUGUAAUGGAUGGUAUCCUUUUUGCCACAGCCGCUUCCAUUUAGGCAAAAGCUCAAGAGAUGAUUUAUGGAUGGUGUUUGGGUGUUUAUGUGUGUUCUGACAAAGGGAUCGAGUGUGAGUGGGGACACACCCCCAAACCAUUUGGAUUAUCAUUGCAAAUUGUUGUUAUUAUUUUGGCAGAUUCCUGAUUUUGCAUGCUCGCCAAAUCCAGAGAGUGAGUAUAUUAUCCUAUUCAAAGCUUCUCUUUCAAUUAUUCUUUGAUAUUGUACUUGAUUUAGAUAUUUGGGAUCUAUAUGCUGAAAGAUGAGCACGAACCAACCUUAGAAGACGUUCUGCAACCUGGCAAGAACAUGUUGGCAGCUGGUUAUUGUAUGUACAGUAGCUCUUGCACGCUUGUUUUGCUGCUGAUCAUUGGUCCGGGCAUGGGCACUUCGUGCCAUGGCAGGAAUUCGCCUUCAUGUAAUUGCACCUCUUGUUCUUGUUGCGUGGGAAAAUGUGUUUAAUCAGGAUAUGACUAAUCAAGCGCUGCUUAUAUGAGGGACCGCAGUAGAAUGAUCAAACAGAUGCGGUUGAGAAAAUCUGCUGUUAGUGUAUUUGGAUAUGUUCACGAGGUUAAGGAUAACAUGAAAGACAGGGAAGCCCAAACUGAUGGUGAUCCUGAACUUCUGGAUGAUUCUGAAUUUUUUCAGUAAUAGCUGAAAGAAUUUUUUGAGACAGUUGAUCUUAAUUCAUCUGGUAAAACACUUUGUGGCUGAAAAUCUUCACAUAUAGCUCUUUUUUCGGCCAAUGUUUUUAAUUUCCUCAUCAGUAAUAUCCGCCUUGAGGUUUCCUAUCACUCCCAGAUCCCAAAUUCUCUGAAGGCCCAUGCAUUUGAUGUAAGUACCUAACAAGGCUGGUUGUUCAAAUUAUGAAUAAUUGACCCUGCCUAUUUACUUGAUAGGAUAGGCUGUGAAGAAGGGUGAUACUAUUUUUAUUGGUCAAUACCUGUUUACAAGAAAUGAAACAACUUCUGUGCGGCGAGGAAUUGGAUCAAGAGAGUAAGAUUCCAUCGUCAAAAGAGUUAAAAAGUAGAUCUUUUGAAGCGAAUAAUAGAGCAGUGUGAUUUUUUU